AUGAAAUUUAUUGUUUUAAUCAUACUGGUCCUUUUGGCAGCUCAAGCAAGCUGUCAAACUUCACCGGUACGACCCCCUAGAAGGACCAGAAGGACAAUGCGACCUCCCGGGGCAAGGUGAUAAAAUCCUGCUAAUGGAACUAGAAGGCCACAGGUAGAUGUGGAAAUGCAUUAAACCAAUUUUUCUUAAUAUUCGAAUGGGAAAAUAAAGCGUAAAACUUCUCAAAAAUAAACAAUUGAUGUGCGUACAUUUAUUAAUAUGCCGUUAAUUUAUUAAUAGAGUGGUAAACGAAGUAGUGUGUAAAUUUUAUUAUUAAAAAUCAAAUAAACGAUAUUGUUGCUACAUGAAUUAAUAAUCGGAUUGUACAACACAUUAGAUAUGCUUAAUUUAAUUGAACGAUGUUGUAACUGUAUGAAUUAUAAUAGUCAAAUAUGUACCAAUGAUGUGGUUAGAUUUAAAGUACAUUUUUAAUUUUCUUAUGUACGAAACCUGUUGACAUUUAAAUUAGUAUUAAAGGUAAUUAAGUAACCUUUCUAAAAAGUAUAGAAUUGUCUGAAGAGGUACUAUGUUGAUACAAAAUAACUAUCUCUAGAAAGUACUACUAUCAGAAAAAUGCAAGUAAAUUUGCACGCAAAUUUAUUCCCGCAUUAUUUACAAUUUUGUAGGGAUUGAAUAACAUGUUAGCCAUGCUUAAUUUAAUUGUUUCACCUAUUGAAGGAUAUAUAAGCCAAGUGUUUUACAUUGAAACUUAAGAACUAAAAAUAUGAAAUUUAUUGUUUUAAUCAUACUGGUCCUUUUGGCAGCUCAAGCAAGCUGUCGUAGACGACAGGCCCCGGAAAACUUCCACCAAAGACACAAUGGGGGUGUGAAAACACUUAACAUAUUUUCUCUAAAUUCGAUUUUAAAUAUAUACACUUCUCAUACCUACAAAA